ensembl:snoRNA small nucleolar RNA, H/ACA box 47
AGGAGGACUGAGAAGGUUGAGCAGCUUGUGUUGUGCUGUUAUAACUGGUUAUAGCCUCCAAGAGUAUUAAACAAACCACCAAAUUUU